UAAAUCCCUUGAGACAUUAUACCUUUUUUCCAACCUAUUUGUCAUUGCUAACCUCUAAUUUGUGACUUCUCAAGUUACAUACUUUUUAAUUUCCUUGUAGAAGAAUGCAGCAGGGGAUCAAGGGAAAAACAAAGGAGGAGGGAGUAUAUAUAAAGAAUGAGGCAGUUAGCACUAGCAGAUAUAGUUGCAAAAAGAUGACAUUUCAAAGGAUUCAAAGGCUUUAUUUCUCAAAAACCCAAUACAAUAAUUCAAUAGACAAAAUGGGGAAGGUAAGUUGAAGGAAUAAGAAAAAUAUGUUAAAAUAUAGAAUAAGAUACAAAAACUUCAUUGAGAUUUCUGAACAAAUUCUGUCAAAAAGGUGAGUUUUUCAUGAGUUUUGUUUAAGGUAAUUAAACACAAGGUUGAAAAGUAAAAGGUAUACAUACAUUUUUUUACAAACUCAUUUAUAUUCCCGAUUACAAUACUACUGUAGGAGAUUGUUGAUAUUUAUUUCAAAUCUUUCUGCCCCACUUAUCAUUCUGACAGCCUAUGAACGAUGUGCAGGUGAAGCAGAGAAAGAGAAGCUCCUCUCCUCCAUCAGAUAUGGGAAGCUCAAAAGGAACCUGGGUCCAGCUCUGAGCAGAACAGUUCAUCAGCUGUACUGCACUCAGGGAGCACUGACAUAUGCUUAAUAUAAAAACAUAUCAUGAACAUUUCACAUAGUUUCUAUCCCUACUUUACUUGAAUAAUACACAUUUUUAGGAUGGAAUUGUCCUUUGUUAUGUAAAUAUAAACAUGCUCCCAAGUUCUCAUUACCGCAACAUAUUGCUACUUGUAUGAAGAAUUUCACAAAUGCCCCAGGAAACUUAAAUAAAGUUUACAUUUUGAAUAGUAUUUUUGUUAUUGAAUAUGUUAAACAAGAUGUUCUACAGUACAGUUUGUGAAAAAGGGGCAGAAAGCACUGUGGUAAACUUCUAAACUGUCAGAAAUUAAAUAAAGAAUAUUUGUUUAACCCCCUGAACUUCUUUGUGACCCCAGCUGCUGUUGAACAGCAUUCAUAAUAAUGACAAGACAAACAAAGUUAGCCUUACAUAUCUUUUUAUUUUUCACCAUUAGAAUCAUUUUAUCCAGACUUUAACAAAUGUGUUCCUUAAACAGAUAAGCAGGUACAAAA